AGAGUUUGUUCCUGGCUCAGGAUGAACGCUGGCGGCGUGCCUAAUACAUGCAAGUCGAACGCGGGCACUUGUGCCCGAGUGGCGAACGGGUGAGUAAUACAUAAGUAACCUGGCCUUUACAGGGGGAUAACUGCUGGAAACGGCAGCUAAGACCGCAUAGGUAGGGACACUGCAUGGUGACCGUAUUAAAAGUGCUGCAAGGCACUGGUAGAGGAUGGACUUAUGGCGCAUUAGCUGGUUGGUGAGGUAACGGCUCACCAAGGCGACGAUGCGUAGCCGACCUGAGAGGGUGACCGGCCACACUGGGACUGAGACACGGCCCAGACUCCUACGGGAGGCAGCAGUAGGGAAUUUUCGGCAAUGGGGGGAACCCUGACCGAGCAACGCCGCGUGAAGGAAGAAGGAAUUCGUUCUGUAAACUUCUGUUAUAAAGGAAGAAAGACGGAUGGAGGAAAUGACAUCCGAGUGACGGUACUUUAUGAGAAAGCCACGGCUAACUACGUGCCAGCAGCCGCGGUAAUACGUAGGUGGCAAGCGUUAUCCGGAAUUAUUGGGCGUAAAGAGGGAGCAGGCGGCAGCAAAGGUCUGUGGUGAAAGACUGAAGCUUAACUUCAGUAAGCCAUAGAAACCGGGCAGCUAGAGUGCAGGAGAGGAUCGUGGAAUUCCAUGUGUAGCGGUGAAAUGCGUAGAUAUAUGGAGGAACACCAGUGGCGAAGGCGACGAUCUGGCCUGCAACUGACGCUCAGUCCCGAAAGCGUGGGGAGCAAAUAGGAUUAGAUACCCUAGUAGUCCACGCCGUAAACGAUGAGUACUAAGUGUUGGAAGUCAAAUUUCAGUGCUGCAGUUAACGCAGUAAGUACUCCGCCUGAGUAGUACGUUCGCAAGAAUGAAACUCAAAGGAAUUGACGGGGGCCCGCACAAGCGGUGGAGCAUGUGGUUUAAUUCGAAGCAACGCGAAGAACCUUACCAGGCCUUGACAUACUCAUAAAGGAUCCAGAGAUGGAUAGAUAGUUAUAUGAGAUACAGGUGGUGCAUGGUUGUCGUCAGCUCGUGUCGUGAGAUGUUGGGUUAGGUCCCGCAACGAGCGCAACCCUUGUCGUUAGUUACCAUCAUUAAGUUGGGGACUCUAGCGAGACUGCCAGUGACAAGCUGGAGGAAGGCGGGGAUGACGUCAAAUCAUCAUGCCCCUUAUGACCUGGGCUACACACGUGCUACAAUGGAUGGUGCAGAGGGAAGCGAAGCCGCGAGGCGAAGCAAAACCCAUAAAACCAUUCUCAGUUCGGAUUGUAGUCUGCAACUCGACUACAUGAAGUUGGAAUCGCUAGUAAUCGCGAAUCAGCAUGUCGCGGUGAAUACGAUGUCGGGCCUUGCACACACCGCCCGUCA
rnacentral:rRNA from 1 species